ensembl:lncRNA
AGACCAGGCACACAUACAUUAAUACACUUGAACCAUCACCAAUCAGCAUAGGAAUUCAAGAUCACACAACCAGCAGCUUCACUGGAGAAAAACUAUUUUACUGGCAACUCUUUUUAAAGCACCAUCAUUUCAAAUCAGGGCGCUCUUAAACUAUUGACAGGAGCUUUGACAACAAGACAGGAUGCCUCAUAAAGAGGGAAGACUUUAACUAGUGACACGCAGAUGUGUGAGUCCUUAAAUUGUAAGCGAGGAC